AUUGAACGCUGGCGGCAUGCUUUACACAUGCAAGUCGAACGGCAGCGCGGGCUUCGGCCUGGCGGCGCGUGGCGCACGGGUGAGUAAUGCAUCGGAACGUGCCCAGCAGUGGGGGAUAGCCCGGCGAAAGCCGGAUUAAUACCGCCUACGACCUGAGGGUGCAAGCGGGGGACCGAAGGGCCUCGCGCUAUUUGAGCGGCCGAUGUCGGAUUAGCUAGUUUGUAGGGUAAAGGCUUACCAAGGCGACCAUCCGUAGCUGGUCUGGGAGGACGACCAGCCACACGGGAACUGAGACACGGCCCAGACUCCUACGGGAGGCAGCAGUGGGGAAUUUUGGACAGUGGGGGCAACCCUGAUCCAGCCAUGCCGCGUGCGGGAAGAAGGCCUUCGGGUUGUAAACCGCUUUUGUUCGGGAAGAAAUCCUCUGGGCUAAUACCCCGGGGGGAUGACGGUACCGGAAGAAUAAGCACCGGCUAACUACGUG
rnacentral:rRNA from 1 species